rnacentral:piRNA from 1 species
AGUAAAUCCAGUCAGGCAGAUUGUUCUCUGU